GAACGUCGUGAGACAGUUUGGUCCUUAUCCGCCGUGGUCGCAGGAAGUUUGAAGAGAUUAAUCCUUAGUACGAGAGGACCAGGAUUAACGUGCCUCUGGUGUUCCAGUUGUCGUGCCAACGGCAUCGCUGGGUAGCUACGCACGGGAAGGAUAAGCGCUGAAAGCAUCUAAGUGCCAAGCCCCCUCUAAGAUAAGACUUCCCUUGUUCUUCGGAACACUCAAGGCUCGUUCUAGACUAGGACGUUGAUAGGCUGGACGUGUAAGUACAGUGAUGUAUGAAGCUAACCAGUACUAAUUAGCCGUGAGGCUUGAUCUU
rnacentral:rRNA from 1 species